rnacentral:rRNA from 2 species
UGGGGAAUAUUGCACAAUGGGCGCAAGCCUGAUGCAGCGACGCCGCGUGGCGGAUGAAGGCCUUCGGGUUGUAAACCCCUUUCAGCAGGGAAGAAGCGAAAGUGACGGUACCUGCAGAAGAAGCGCCGGCUAACUACGUGCCAGCAGCCGCGGUAAUACGUAGGGCGCGAGCGGUGUCCGGAUGUCUUGGGCGUAAAGAGCUCGUAGGCGGUUUGUCGCGUCUGCUGUGAAAUCCUCUGGCUUAACUGGGGGCGUGCAGUGGGUACGGGCAGACUAGAGUGCGGUAGGGGAGACUGGAAUUCCUGGUGUAGCGGUGGAAUGCGCAGAUAUCAGGAGGAACACCGAUGGCGAAGGCAGGUCUCUGGUCCGCAACUGACGCUGAGGAGCGAAAGCAUGGGGAGCGAACAGG